AUUCCCAUCGAGGAUCAUCCGAUACGAUAGAGAGAAGAUUAGCAUGGCCCCCGCGCAAAGAUGACACGCACAAAUCGGGAAGUGUACCAAGUGUGA
rnacentral:snRNA from 1 species